GGUGACGUGGGAUACAAAAGCCACAUGUCACAUAACACCCACCUGCAGAAGAAUGUGAGAAACUCACCUUGACUCUUUCUUUCCUUCUCAGAUGAGAAGAUUGUACCUCAUAUUCCAAGAACAAAGUAGGAGAAAUUAAAGAUGAGUGAGAAGACACACCCUCCAAAAUGUCUACUCUUCUCCAUCACUAGCCUGUGUGGAGAUGGAACAGAGCAACAUUCUGGGCUCUCAGCUCCAUGUAAAGUAUGACAGCUCCUUACUGCAUCCUACGCAGGAGAUUACUGCAAUAUGAGCCAUGGAGAGGAGAGAAGAAAAUGAAAAGCAGUUGGCAAAAAAAUCAAAUAAAAAUAUUUAUUUUAAU